CCCUACGGGGCGCAGCAGGCGCGAAAACUUUACAAUGCGUGAAACCGUGAUAAGGGAACACCGAGUGCCAGCAUCAUAUGCUGGCUGUCCAGAUGUGUAAACUACAUCUGUUAGCAAGGGCCGGGCAAGACCGGUGCCAGCCGCCGCGGUAACACCGGCGGCCCGAGUGGUGACCGUUAUUAUUGGGUCUAAAGGGUCCGUAGCCGGUUUGGUCAGUCCUCCGGGAAAUCUGAUAGCUUAACUGUUAGGCUUUCGGGGGAUACUGCCAGGCUUGGAACCGGGAGAGGUAAGAGGUACUACAGGGGUAGGAGUGAAAUCUUGUAAUCCCUGUGAGACCACCUGUGGCGAAGGCGUCUUACCAGAACGGGUUCGACGGUGAGGGACGAAAGCUGGGGGCACGAACCGGAUUAGAUACCCGGGUAGUCCCAGCCGUAAACUAUGCUCGCUAGGUGUCAGGCAUGGCGCGACCGUGUCUGGUGCCGCAGGGAAGCCGUGAAGCGAGCCACCUGGGAAGUACGGCCGCAAGGCUGAAACUUAAAGGAAUUGGCGGGGGAGCACAACAACGGGUGGAGCCUGCGGUUUAAUUGGACUCAACGCCGGACAACUCACCGGGAACGACA
rnacentral:rRNA from 1 species